rnacentral:tRNA from 1 species
GGUCAGAGAGCUCAGUUGGUAGAGCAUGAGGGUCAUGGGUUCAAGCCCCAUGUUGGGCA